rnacentral:rRNA from 1 species
UCCUACGGGGAGGCAGCAGUGGGGAAUAUUGCAUAAUUGGCGCAAGCCUGAUGCAGCGACGCCGCGAUGUAGGGAUGGAGGCCUUCGGGUUGUGAACCUCUUUCGCUCAUGGUCAAGCCGCAACUUUGGGUUGUGGUGAGGGUAGUGGGUAAAGAAGCGCCGGCUAACUACGUGCCAGCAGCCGCGGUAAUACGUAGGGCGCGAGCGUUGUCCGGAAUUAUUGGGCGUAAAGGGCUUGUAGGCGGUUGGUCGCGUCUGCCGUGAAAUCCUCUGGCUUAACUGGGGGCGUGCGGUGGGUACGGGCUGACUUGAGUGCGGUAGGGGAGACUGGAACUCCUGGUGUAGCGGUGGAAUGCGCAGAUAUCAGGAAGAACACCGGUGGCGAAGGCGGGUCUCUGGGCCGUUACUGACGCUGAGGAGCGAAAGCGUGGGGAGCGAACAGGAUUAGAUACCCUGGUAGUCCACGCUGUAAACGUUGGGCACUAGGUGUGGGGGCCACCCGUGGUUUCUGCGCCGUAGCUAACGCUUUAAGUGCCCCGCCUGGGGAGUACGGCCGCAAGGCUAAAACUCAAAGAAAUUGACGGA